rnacentral:rRNA from 1 species
GUCUAAAACGACUCUCGACAACGGAUAUCUCGGCUCUUGCAUCGAUGAAGAACGUAGCGAAAUGCGAUACUUGGUGUGAAUUGCAGAAUCCCGUGAACCAUCGAGUUUUUGAACGCAAGUUGCGCUCGAAGCCAUUAGGUUGAGGGCACGCCUGCCUGGGUGUCACUAA